GCGCCACUAGCUCAGCUGGAUAGAGUAUCGGCCUCCGAAGCCGAGGGUCGAAGGUUCGAAUCCUUCGUGGCGCA
rnacentral:tRNA from 1 species